UACGUAGGGUGCGAGCGUUAAUCGGAAUCACUGGGCGUAAAGCGCGCGUAGGCGGUCUGUUAAGUGGGAUGUGAAAUCCCCGGGCUCAACCCGGGAACUGCGUCCGAUACUGGCAGGCUUGAAUCCGGGAGAGGGAUGCGGAAUUCCAGGUGUAGAGGUGAAAUUCGUAGAUAUCGGGAGGAACACCGGUGGCGAAGGCGGCGACCUGGGUAGAUACUGACGCUGAGGCGCGAAAGCGUGGGGAGCAAACAGG
rnacentral:rRNA from 1 species